AAGAUGUAACGGGGCUAAACCAUGCACCGAAGCUGCGGCAGCGACGCUUAUGCGUUGUUGGGUAGGGGAGCGUUCUGUAAGCCUGCGAAGGUGGCCUGUGAGGGUUGCUGGAGGUAUCAGAAGUGCGAAUGCUGACAUAAGUAACGAUAAAGCGGGUGAAAAGCCCGCUCGCCGGAAGACCAAGGGUUCCUGUCCAACGUUAAUCGGGGCAGGGUGAGUCGACCCCUAAGGCGAGGCCGAAAGGCGUAGUCGAUGGGAAACGGGUUAAUAUUCCCGUACUUGGUGUUACUGCGAAGGGGGGACGGAGAAGGCUAUGUUGGCCGGGCGACGGUUGUCCCGGUUUAAGCGUGUAGGUGUGUGUUCCAGGUAAAUCCGGUUCACUUUAACACUGAGGCGUGACGACGAGGCACUACGGUGCUGAAGCAACAAAUGCCCUGCUUCCAGGAAAAGCCUCUAAGCAUCAGGUAACAUCAAAUCGUACCCCAAACCGACACAGGUGGUCAGGUAGAGAAUACCAAGGCGCUUGAGAGAACUCGGGUGAAGGAACUAGGCAAAAUGGUGCCGUAACUUCGGGAGAAGGCACGCUGACACGUAGGUGAAGUGAUUUACUCAUGGAGCUGAAGUCAGUCGAAGAUACCAGCUGGCUGCAACUGUUUAUUAAAAACACAGCACUGUGCAAACACGAAAGUGGACGUAUACGGUGUGACGCCUGCCCGGUGCCGGAAGGUUAAUUGAUGGGGUCAGCGCAAGCGAAGCUCCUGAUCGAAGCCCCGGUAAACGGCGGCCGUAACUAUAACGGUCCUAAGGUAGCGAAAUUCCUUGUCGGGUAAGUUCCGACCUGCACGAAUGGCGUAAUGAUGGCCAGGCUGUCUCCACCCGAGACUCAGUGAAAUUGAACUCGCUGUGAAGAUGCAGUGUACCCGCGGCAAGACGGAAAGACCCCGUGAACCUUUACUAUAGCUUGACACUGAACAUUGAGCCUUGAUGUGUAGGAUAGGUGGGAGGCUUUGAAGUGUGGACGCCAGUCUGCAUGGAGCCGACCUUGAAAUACCACCCUUUAAUGUUUGAUGUUCUAACGUGGACCCGUUACCCGGGUUGCGGACAGUGUCUGGUGGGUAGUUUGACUGGGGCGGUCUCCUCCUAAAGAGUAACGGAGGAGCACGAAGGUUGGCUAAUCCUGGUCGGACAUCAGGAGGUUAGUGCAAUGGCAUAAGCCAGCUUGACUGCGAGCGUGACGGCGCGAGCAGGUGCGAAAGCAGGUCAUAGUGAUCCGGUGGUUCUGAAUGGAAGGGCCAUCGCUCAACGGAUAAAAGGUACUCCGGGGAUAACAGGCUGAUACCGCCCAAGAGUUCAUAUCGACGGCGGUGUUUGGCACCUCGAUGUCGGCUCAUCACAUCCUGGGGCUGAAGUAGGUCCCAAGGGUAUGGCUGUUCGCCAUUUAAAGUGGUACGCGAGCUGGGUUUAGAACGUCGUGAGACAGUUCGGUCCCUAUCUGCCGUGGGCGCUGGAGAACUGAGGGGGGCUGCUCCUAGUACGAGAGGACCGGAGUGGACGCAUCACUGGUGUUCGGGUUGUCAUGCCAAUGGCACUGCCCGGUAGCUAAAUGCGGAAGAGAUAAGUGCUGAAAGCAUCUAAGCACGAAACUUGCCCCGA
rnacentral:rRNA from 1 species